AAAUGGGUGCGAGCUCGAUUUAGAGCAGUUUUGAAAAAACUGAAAAUUGGAAAUGGGUGCGAACUCGAUUUAGAGCAUUUUUGAAAAAACUGAAACUUGGAAAUGGGGGCGUACUCGAUUUACAGCAUUUUCAAAGGAGCUGAAAGUUGGAAAUGGGUGCGAACUCGAUUUAGA